UACAGAGGUCUCAAGCGUUGUUCGGAUUCAUUGGGCGUAAAGGGUGUGUAGGUGGCGCGCUAAGUCGGGUGUGAAAUUUCGGAGCUUAACUCCGAAACUGCAUUCGAUACUGGCGUGCUUGAGGACUGGAGAGGAGACUGGAAUUUACGGUGUAGCAGUGAAAUGCGUAGAUAUCGUAAGGAAGACCAGUGGCGAAGGCGGGUCUCUGGACAGUUCCUGACACUGAGGCGCGAAGGUCAGGGGAGCAAACGGG
rnacentral:rRNA from 1 species